UCAACCCUAGGUCAACAGGAUUACUUGCUGAGUUUAAACAUAUCGAUAAGUGGAGGAAAAGAAACUUACUAGGAUUUCGCUAGUAAUAGCGAGAAACCAGGAAGAGCAUAACUUGAGAAUCAAGCACUUUCGGCAUCUGAAUUGUAGUUUAGAAAAGUAUCUUCAAUGGUUGACUAGGCCUAAAUCCUCUAGAAAAGGGCACCGGAGUGGGUGAGAACCCCAUUGUACUUAGACCCUAUACACUAUAAGGCAUUAUCUGUGAGUUGAGUUGUUUAGGAAUGCAACUGCAAUUAGGAGGUAAAUGUCAUCCGGGUUGAAUAUAGGUGAGAGAUUGAUAGCAAACAAAUGCCAUAAGGGAAAAAAGAAAAUGACUUUGAAAAAAGAGUCAAAGAGUGCUUGAAAUUGUCAGGAGAGAAUCAGAUGGGGGCCAAUGAUGCAUCCCAUUUAGAUGUGGAAUGGUGAGAACCGAUCCAUCGAUUGACUCAGGGCAUAGAUUGACAUGGGUCACGAUAAUGGCCCAAGCCUAGACUUUUGAUAUGCCUAUGGAAUGAUGCACAUGCCAUCUUGAUGUGCCUUGGCACCUGUAUUUCUAGGUGUCAGCCUAUAGGCUCCCCAUCUGGCCUAUCCCAAAACAUGGACCAAGGAGUCUGACAUGUGUAUGAAUCAAUGGGCUAGAAAACUCAUAAGGUGUAAAGAAGUUGAUUGGCAGGAUCCCUUGUGGGUGCACCACUAAUUGACCUUGAUCUUCUGAGAAGGAUUCGAGGUGAGCAUGCCUGUUAGGACCUGAAAGAUGGUGAACUAUGCCUAUGUAAGGUGAAGCCAAAAGAAACUCUGGUGGAGGCUCGUAGCGAUUCUGACAUGCAAAUUGUUCGUCUGACUCGGGUAUAGGGGUGAAAGACUAAUCAAAUAAUCUAGUAGUUAAUUCCCUCUGAAGUUUCCUUCAAGAAAGUUGGAGCCUUUAGUGAGUUCUAUCGAGUAAAGCUAGUGAUUAAAAGCAUCAGGGGCAUAAUGUCCUCGACCUAUUCUUAAACUUUAAAUAGGUAGGAUGGCGCAGCUACUUCAUUAAGCUACUCCAUGGAACUGAGAGCUUCAUGUAGGCCAUUUUUGGUAAGUAGAAUUGGUGAUGCAUGAUGAACUAGAAGUUGGGUUAUGGGGCCUAACUGGGGUUAUAGUGCUCAACUGUGCUAACUUGGAACCCACCAAGGGUGUUGGUCAAUUAAGGCAACAAGACGGUAGUCAUGAAAGUUGAAAUCUGCUAAAAAGUGUGUAACAACUCACCUACCAAUUCAACUAGCCUUAAAAAUGGAUGGCAUUUAAGUGCAUGACUUAUGCUUGAUAGUUGGGGUAGGGGCUAGGCCCCGAUGAGUAGGAAGGUAUGAUGGUCACCACAAAACCCGAGGCAUGAGCUUGGGUGAAGCAAUCGUCAGUGCAAAUCUUGGUGGUAGUAGCAAAUAUUUAAAUGAGAACUUUGUAGGCCAAAAAAGGGAAAGGCUCCAUGUGAACGGAACUUGCAUAUGGGUUAGUCGAUCCUAAGAGAUGGGGGAAGCUUGUCUGAUAGUGUGUCUAGUGUGAGCUUCGAAAGGAAAUCGGUUUGAAAUUCUUAAAUUGGGAUGCAGUGGCUGAUGGUAACAUUAACAAGUCCAGAGACAUCAGCAGGAGGCUCGGGAAGAGUUAUCUUUUUAGUUUAAAGGCCUGCCCACUUUAAAAAUGGCUUAGCUAGAGGUAGAGUCUAGUGGCCAGAAGAGCAUCGCACAUUGCAAAGUGUUUGGUAUGCCUUUGAUAGCCCUUGAAAAUCAAGAAGACCAAGUGCCAUCUGUACUCGAUCGUACUCAUAACUGCAUCAAGUCUCCAAGGUGAAUAGCCUCUAGUCGAUGGAACAAUGUAGGCAAAAGAAGUUAGUAAAAUGGAUCAUAACCUUGGGAAAAAGAUUGGCUCUAAGGGUUAGGCAUGGGGUCCUAGUCUUGAACCCAUUGGCUAUUAGUGCACUACUCUAGCUGCUCCCAUAGUGAGAGUGGGUUGCCACAUGCUGACUGGGGGAUGAACUAUAAACGGCUCCCUUAGAGGCCUUCCCUAGAUGACAAACAAUCAACUUAGAAUUGUUAUAGACAAAGGGAAUCUGACUAUUUAAUUAAAUCAAAGCAUUGCAAUGGUCCCUGUAAAUACUCACGCAAUGUGAUUUUUGCCUAAUGCUUUAAACACUAAAGUGAAGAAAUUCAACCAAGUGCAUGUAAAUGAAGAGAGUAACCAUGACUCUUUUAAGGUAGCCAAAUGCCUAGUCAUCUAAUUAGUGACGCACACUAAUGGAUUAAUGAGAUCCCCACUAUCCUUGUCUAAUAUCCAGUGAAACCAUAGCUAAGGGAAUGGGCUUGGUAGAAUCAAUAGGGAAAGAAGACCCUAUUGAGUUUGACUCUAGUCUAACUUUGUGAAAUGACUUGAGAGGUGUAGAUAAGUGGGAGCCCUAGGGUGAAAUUGAAAUAACACUACUUUCAAUGUUAUUUUACUUAUUUCAUUAAUCAAAGGCUGAGAAUGACCUUUUCUUUUAGACCUAAGGUUAACAUCGAUCAGUCAAUCUGAGUAGAAGACAUUGUCAAGAAAGGAGUUUGGCUAGGGCAGCACAUCUAUUAAAAGAUAACAAAAGUGUCAUAAGAUGAGAUUAACGAGAAUAGAAAUCUCAUGUGGAAUAAAGGGUAAAAGCUUCUUUGAUUCUAAUUUCCAGUAUGAAUACAAACCAUGAAAGCAUGGCCUAUUGAUUUUUUAAACCUUUAAACUUUGAAGCUAGAGGUGUCAGAAAAGUUACCACAAGGAUAACUGGAAUGUGGCAGCCAAGCAUUCAUAGCAACGUUGCUUUUUGAUCCUUCAAUGUCACUCUUCCUAUCAUUUUGAAGUAGAAUUCACCAAGUGUUGGAUUGUUCACCCACCAACAGGGAACAUUUGUUAGGUUUAGACUGUUGUGAGAUAGGUUAGUUUUACCCUACUAAUGUCAGAGUUGCAAUAGUAAUUCAACCUAGUACAAAAGGAAUCAUUGAUUUGCAUAAUUGGUCAUCACGCUUGGUUGAAAAGCUAGUGAUGUAAAGCUACCGAGCACUGGAUUAUGACUGAAUUCUUCUAAGUUAGAAUCCAAGCUAGAAGUGACACAUGAGCCCGUCAUUCGAUUGUCAACUCGUAAAAGGGACCCAUGGCCCCCAAAGGCACGUAUUGUAGGUGUAGACCCCAUGGUGGACCAGCCACGCAGUCCUCCUUAAAGCUAAUUCCACUAUAGUAAAGGUU
rnacentral:rRNA from 1 species